rnacentral:rRNA from 1 species
UUCCGUAGGGUGAACCUGCGGAGGGAUCAUUACCGAGUCUAAACAACUCAUCAACCCUGUGAACAUACCUAAAACGUUGCUUCGGCGGGAACAGACGGCCCCGUGAAACGGGCCGCCCCCGCCAGAGGACCCCCUAACUCUGUUGCUAUAUGUAUCUUCUGAGUAAACAAGCAAAUAAAUUAAAACUUUCAACAACGGAUCUCUUGGCUCUGGCAUCGAUGAAGAACGCAGCGAAAUGCGAUAAGUAAUGUGAAUUGCAGAAUUCAGUGAAUCAUCGAAUCUUUGAACGCACAUUGCGCCCGCCAGUAUUCUGGCGGGCAUGCCUGUUCGAGCGUCAUUACAACCCUCAGGCCCCCGGGCCUGGCGUUGGGGAUCGGCGAGGCGCCCCCCGCGGGCACGCGCCGUCCCCCAAAUACAGUGGCGGUCCCGCCGCAGCUUCCAUUGCGUAGUAGCUAACACCUCGCAACUGGAGAGCGGCGCGGCCAUGCCGUAAAACACCCAACUUCUGAAUGUUGACCUCGAAUCAGGUAGGAAUACCCGCUGAACUUAAGCAUAUCAAAAGGCCCGGAGGAA